CUCCCAACAUUGGCAAUGGCAUUGAUCUGGACAACUACUCUUGGGAUCAAUUCGUACAGGGGGUUAAGGAGACCAUUAACACUACUGAGGCCAUUGAAGAGAACAAGAAGGGGCUUUUAGGCAACUGAGGAAGCUUAACAUCUAAAAAAGUUGAUACAAGACUGUACUACUUCUUUCAUCAAAGUAAGAGAUAAGGAAAAAUUCUUCCUCCAUGUCCAGCCAGCAGUGAUGGAUCUGAUCAGGAGGGUGAUGAGAAUAUGAUAAGCCUCAUAAGGAGAGGAAGGGUGAUGAGAAUGAUAAGUCUUAGGAGGGUGAUGAGGAGUAGUUGUAUCUAUUUGACAUUUUAGACUUUUAUAUUUUUGGAAUUGUUUGAUCGUAUUUUAGUUUUUUUUGAAGUUUUAUGAAGUUUAUUUUGAAGUUGUAUGAAGUUUAUUUUGAAGUUGGAUGAAGUUUAUUUUGAAGUAGUUUAAUGUAUAUGUUGAAAAAUAUUGUGU